AGGGCGCACGGUGGAUGCCUUGGCACUAGAAGCCGAUGAAGGACGUUACUAACGACGAUAUGCUUUGGGGAGCUGUAAGUAAGCUUUGAUCCAGAGAUUUCCGAAUGGGGAAACCCAGCAUGAGUUAUGUCAUGUUAUCGAUAUGUGAAUACAUAGCAUAUCAGAAGGCACACCCGGAGAACUGAAACAUCUUAGUACCCGGAGGAAGAGAAAGAAAAUUCGAUUCCCUUAGUAGCGGCGAGCGAAACGGGAAGAGCCCAAACCAACAAGCUUGCUUGUUGGGGUUGUAGGACACUCUAUACGGAGUUACAAAGGACGACAUUAGACGAAUCAUCUGGAAAGAUGAAUCAAAGAAGGUAAUAAUCCUGUAGUCGAAAAUGUUGUCUCUCUUGAGUGGAUCCUGAGUACGACGGAGCACGUGAAAUUCCGUCGGAAUCUGGGAGGACCAUCUCCUAAGGCUAAAUACUCUCUAGUGACCGAUAGUGAACCAGUACCGUGAGGGAAAGGUGAAAAGCACCCCGGAAGGGGAGUGAAAUAGAACCUGAAACCGUGUGCUUACAAGUAGUCAGAGCCCGUUAAUGGGUGAUGGCGUGCCUUUUGUAGAAUGAACCGGCGAGUUACGAUUUGAUGCAAGGUUAAGCAGUAAAUGUGGAGCCGUAGCGAAAGCGAGUCUGAAUAGGGCGUUUAGUAUUUGGUCGUAGACCCGAAACCAGGUGAUCUACCCUUGGUCAGGUUGAAGUUCAGGUAACACUGAAUGGAGGACCGAACCGACUUACGUUGAAAAGUGAGCGGAUGAACUGAGGGUAGCGGAGAAAUUCCAAUCGAACCUGGAGAUAGCUGGUUCUCUCCGAAAUAGCUUUAGGGCUAGCCUCAAGUGAUGAUUAUUGGAGGUAGAGCACUGUUUGGACGAGGGGCCCCUCUCGGGUUACCGAAUUCAGACAAACUCCGAAUGCCAAUUAAUUUAACUUGGGAGUCAGAACAUGGGUGAUAAGGUCCGUGUUCGAAAGGGAAACAGCCCAGACCACCAGCUAAGGUCCCAAAAUAUAUGUUAAGUGGAAAAGGAUGUGGCGUUGCCCAGACAACUAGGAUGUUGGCUUAGAAGCAGCCAUCAUUUAAAGAGUGCGUAAUAGCUCACUAGUCGAGUGACACUGCGCCGAAAAUGUACCGGGGCUAAACAUAUUACCGAAGCUGUGGAUUGUCCUUUGGACAAUGGUAGGAGAGCGUUCUAAGGGCGUUGAAGCAUGAUCGUAAGGACAUGUGGAGCGCUUAGAAGUGAGAAUGCCGGUGUGAGUAGCGAAAGACGGGUGAGAAUCCCGUCCACCGAUUGACUAAGGUUUCCAGAGGAAGGCUCGUCCGCUCUGGGUUAGUCGGGUCCUAAGCUGAGGCCGACAGGCGUAGGCGAUGGAUAACAGGUUGAUAUUCCUGUACCACCUAUAAUCGUUUUAAUCGAUGGGGGGACGCAGUAGGAUAGGCGAAGCGUGCGAUUGGAUUGCACGUCUAAGCAGUAAGGCUGAGUAUUAGGCAAAUCCGGUACUCGUUAAGGCUGAGCUGUGAUGGGGAGAAGACAUUGUGUCUUCGAGUCGUUGAUUUCACACUGCCGAGAAAAGCCUCUAGAUAGAAAAUAGGUGCCCGUACCGCAAACCGACACAGGUAGUCAAGAUGAGAAUUCUAAGGUGAGCGAGCGAACUCUCGUUAAGGAACUCGGCAAAAUGACCCCGUAACUUCGGGAGAAGGGGUGCUCUUUAGGGUUAACGCCCAGAAGAGCCGCAGUGAAUAGGCCCAAGCGACUGUUUAUCAAAAACACAGGUCUCUGCUAAACCGUAAGGUGAUGUAUAGGGGCUGACGCCUGCCCGGUGCUGGAAGGUUAAGAGGAGUGGUUAGCUUCUGCGAAGCUACGAAUCGAAGCCCCAGUAAACGGCGGCCGUAACUAUAACGGUCCUAAGGUAGCGAAAUUCCUUGUCGGGUAAGUUCCGACCCGCACGAAAGGCGUAACGAUUUGGGCACUGUCUCAACGAGAGACUCGGUGAAAUCAUAGUACCUGUGAAGAUGCAGGUUACCCGCGACAGGACGGAAAGACCCCGUGGAGCUUUACUGUAGCCUGAUAUUGAAAUUCGGCACAGCUUGUACAGGAUAGGUAGGAGCCUUUGAAACGUGAGCGCUAGCUUACGUGGAGGCGCUGGUGGGAUACUACCCUAGCUGUGUUGGCUUUCUAACCCGCACCACUUAUCGUGGUGGGAGACAGUGUCAGGCGGGCAGUUUGACUGGGGCGGUCGCCUCCUAAAAGGUAACGGAGGCGCUCAAAGGUUCCCUCAGAAUGGUUGGAAAUCAUUCAUAGAGUGU
rnacentral:rRNA from 1 species